rnacentral:lncRNA from 1 species
AGUCUGCCUCCCUCGGCGGGCCGGGUCUCCAGGGAGGACCUGAUUUUUCUUCACCCAUAGUUAGGGAGGCGCAAUCGCCCUGGCUUUGGGGCUGGGGCCUCCGGGGAGGUUCCGGUAGGGGCGUUGGAGAGGCCGCUCUUUUUGCAAGGCCCGAGACGGCGGGCCCUGCGCAGGCCGCCCUAUUCCGCGCCCUCAGGGCGUCAGUAUCCGCCUGAGGCCGGAUACCCCAGCUGGGCCCGGAUGCCGUCGAUGGGCCCGGAGCAUCCUCGGCGCUGCCCUCCCAGAGCCCCGCAGAGGCUGAGGUGGCGCGGGGGGCGGGCCCGGCUCCGCGAGAAGCAGCGGCAGCGAGGGCUGGAGGACCCGGGCUACGGGGCUCUGGGGCGUCUGGCCUGGGUGGGACUGAGCCCAUUCGGGGGGACUCCGGGGUUCUGGUGUAGGUAGAUCCGGGGCAGGCUCAGGACCAAGUCCCUCUCCUUCCACCAAGGAGCGCCCAGAGGCCGGCGGGAGCUCCAGGUUCACCUCCUCCUCCUCCAGGUGUUUACUUUUCCUUUAUUUCUGUGAGGCCAGAAAUUGUCGCCAUCCUUCACAUCGGUGAAUCGGGACCCUAACACUCAUUACCUCAGGUUUAUUGUUAUUGCCAUUAACAGUGUUGGUGGCAUUAUCACUAAGAUCAUCAUUGUUGUUAUUAUUGUCAUUUAUGAUUAUUAGCAGGUGUGUUCAUUUUGUCUUACUAUGCAUUUUUUUUUGGGGGGGGGAUUGGUUUUGUAUGACGUUGAAUUGAGCUUCUUUAAUCUUGACCAGUGUCAGAUUUCUGAAGAGCAUUCCGGAGGACAACUCCUACCUUUCAGCGCAGCCACAGAAUUUCGUGGGCACAGGAGAGCACUUAGAAUAUUCCCCUUUCAUUGCACAGCAGCUUUGGGAAAUAGUGGCUGCCUGGCUCUGAGAUGAGGUAGAAAAGACUGGAUACUGGGGCAAGUGUUAGCACCUCCACUGGUGUUUUUAUGAAGCUAAGCGCACUGUCUCCCACGUAGACUUAGAAUAAAAUCUGAUGGCUCUAAAGGGCCGUGGCUGCCCUUCCUGGGACUUCCUGGGAACCUUUAAAGCUUCUGUGGUUUCUGGAGUAGGUAGGUUGCCAAGUCUGUGCCUCAUAUGGUAGUACCAGUCUUUGCUGGGCCAACAAGGACAUUUAGAAUGUUUCCAGAAGCUCAGGCAUGCUGUUUCUGUUCCUCCCUUCUGUUCAAUGGCAAUUCACUGGGUCCCUGGCUGACAUAGAACAUCCUGCAGAAGGUUGGGCUUGGGUGACUUCCUGGUCAGCCUUCCCAGGCAGUCAUCUUUGAAAACCUUGAAGAGACUCAAAGAGGCCAUUCACUGGUAUUUCAUGACUGCAGGUGGGGUUUCUGGAUCCUUGAGUUUACUUAGCAUAUUUGAAUGGCUCUGAAUGGCCAAGAAACCCUCCCUGGUCUUAGAAGCUGCCAAAAGCUAUUACUGGGCCUCUGAAGAGACUUUUAAAUUUUUCCAAGUACAUUUGAGCAUAGGAAACUUUUCCAGGUCUAGUUGAGCUAGCUCAGGUCGAGUCCUGAAAAACUAGUGGGUAUUGGGGG